rnacentral:lncRNA from 1 species
AGGCGCGCGCGGAGAGCUCUGGCUCAGAGUUUGCGAUCCGAGAGCGGGAUCCGCGCUCCCUCGGUCCUUCCUCCCUCCCCUCUUGCGGCCUCCCGCUGUCAUCUGGAGCCGCUCCUGCCGCCCCCUGGCGGCGACCGCGGGAAGGGCCGGCCCCCAUCCGCACCCCUGACCCCGGAGGUCAACAACGGGAUGGUCCCUGGGUCCCAGGGGAAGAGACAUCACCCAGUAGGAGGGAGUACGGUCUAGACAGAGGCCACGAGGGCGGGAGGGGGCGAGAGUGGAGAGUGGCCCAGCUGGCCAGGGUCGUCUAAGUGAGAGGAAAAGGGAGAGGGCGGUUGAGACCAGGCCCUGAAUUCCGCGUUCAUCUUAUCCUGAGGUCUGUGGGGACCUGUUGAAGGACUGGGGCAGGGGACGGACGCGGGCAUCCUUCCAUUUGGAACAGCCAUUCCGGCAGCAUCAGGAUGGGGCGGAGGCAAAGCGGGGAGUGGGCGAGGCAAGUGGUGCUGUAAACCUGUGCGAGAAGGGGGCGGUGACUCUAAGGGCAGGAAGGAGCCCUGGUCACACACACACUCCCACGCAAGGUAUUCAGUGCCGAGUGUGGCCUUGGUGCUAGGAUUCAAAGAGGAAAGGAAGAAAACUUUCCAUUCUAAAAGAAACUCCACGUGAGGCGAAGAAGAUGAAAUAUAGUCAGAAAACCAUACCAGUAGGUGGUAGUUAAGUUGAUAAAUGAUGCAUACGACAUCCUAUAGAAGACUGUCACCACCCCACCUCACUGAUCAGCCCUCUGCCUACAGCCACACCCACAGAACAUUCAGCCAUUUCUCCUGUGGUUCCCAGCCUGCAGCACAGCGUCUGCACGUGGAACUCUGGAAUGCUGACCUACAGUCUGAGUUCCUGUGCCCUUGCCUGGGGCUGACUCUCUACUUGACCUGUAACCCACAACUGGGCAAGAGAAAAUUCUGCAGCCACAGCUCUGAGGACAUGAGCAAAAUGGUUUCCAGACGGAAUGUCAAGGAUUCCCAUGAAGUGUCAGGGAGUCUUCAGGCCACACUUCAGGUUAUCUCCUUCUCUUUCCCUUUUCUGCUUCACACUUGCUCUCAUCCUCUUUCUCACCCCACAUCUGGUCAGAGGAGAUAGGAAGGUUCUUGUUACCUGGUACAAGACAACUUUUGGAAUCCCAGAUAUUCAGAUUAUUUCCCCUUUUCCUCUUUGCAAAUGAUAAUACUCACAGCCAAGAGGCAUCACCCGGAUCCGAGGCUGCUUCUCCUUAGGACAUGCAGACAGAAGGAGAAGGCGGGGCUGGCAGCCUCCAGUCCACAGCCUCCCUUUCUUCUUCCGGCGAUGAUUAACUAGGCCUAGACAAUGGAGAUCUACGGCAUACGCCCAGGGCCUCCUCUUCUCAAGCAUGGCUGAUCAGUCACUUUCCCGUCUAUCCUUCAUUUAUUGAAGCCAACUAUGAACGACUAAAGGAAGGAUGAGAAAAGUCACCCAAAGUCAAAGGGGACAGCGUGGGAGACUGUUCUAGACAGAAGGAAACACCUUUGCAAAGACCCUGAGGAAGGCAGGGGACUCUCCAGGAGCAGAAGGGCUGUGUGGCUUCAGAGUCCACAAAAGAGAGCAGAUACAGGACACUGGCUAGAGCAGGCCCUGGAGCCCGCUGCUGUCCUGGAGGCCUUGGGGAGGCCCAGUGUUCCCAGGGUGGAAGAAGUAGGGGACAGCUUGACGUAGUGGCUGUUGAUCAGCUGAUAUGGAAGUAUGUCAUUUUAUUAACAAUUGAGAAAGGAGUGCUGUGCAAUUCCAUUCAAUGCCAGUGAUGCUUAUGGCCGUUUUUAUGAGUUCUGUCAUUUUCAAAUGAGCAAGAGGAAGCCUCUAAGGGGGUUUAAGCAGGGACUGACGUAAUCAGAUCUGUGUUUUUCCAAAGGGAGAGGGAGAAAAAGAACAUUUCUUAUUUUUCAAAAAAGGUAAUGCAAAAGCAUCAUUCCACAAUUCUCUUGUAAUGAAAAAAAUAAAUGCAAACUUAAGCAAAUCCAUCAUUCUGAAAGAA